GAGGAUAUAGCUCAGUGGUAGAGCAUGUGCUUAGCAUGCACGAGGUCCUGGGUUCAAUUCCCAGUACCUUCC
rnacentral:tRNA from 1 species